rnacentral:pre_miRNA from 1 species
GGUGGGGGGGGGGGUCCUUCAGCCCGGAUUGUGAGAGGGUGCAGGCCAGGCCAACGGACCCCAUUGGUGCACG